CGAAGUUCUUUUACCUUAGCAAAGUAUACAAAUACAUAGGAGAAGCCCUGAGACAAGGUAGCAAUUUGUCUAUGCAGAAACAGGAUCUAGAUCCAUUAACCUUGUCAAAGCUCUCUCUAAUAUAAGCCCACACUUUAUGUGUAAUAGUUACAUAUAUCAUGCCACUUAACAAUUUAUUACUAACAAAGUUCAUGAUCGAUGACAAGACUAUCGCAUUACAUUUUUUUCACGAUUCAUGUAAAGCAGGAGGAAAUUUGUCCUUAGUGUAUCUACCAUCAACAAAACAUAAUCUCUCCUUACCUAAUAAACUGAUACGUAUAGAGCUGCUUCAUGUAGCAUAGUUCUCAUGUCUAGUUAGCUUGAUUGAUAUGAGAGAACUAUCUGGAGUAUUAGAAGGCUAAAGAAAUAAAAGGAUGAUGUUGAUCGAUCACCAUAUCAACCACACAACUUGGAUCUGCCACUGGAGUUGCAUCAGCAGUAAUGUCUUCAACUCCUGUGUUUAAGCUAGCACCAAUACCUCUGAUCGCCAUUGAAGAAUGAAAAGAUAUUGAGCUUAAGAGCAGUAUAAAGCAAUUACAAAAAGAUGAAGAAAUGAUACCGAAUUGCUCCCAGACAAUUCAUCCUAAAGAGGAAUGAAUCGAAGCAAUUACACAGAUUUCUGAUGAGUUUUGAAACUCGGAUCAAAAUUUGAGCAGUCCGCAUGAAUCGAACGUCUUCACGGGCUCUGAUACCAUGUUAAAUGUAGAGAGCCUCCAUGUUGCUAGAUGAUUUCUCAGAAGAAGCUAAGAGCGAAAAGGAAAUUGUAUUGUUCC
rnacentral:lncRNA from 1 species